rnacentral:tRNA from 1 species
GGGACUGUGGCUUAGUGAUAGAGUGCUUGCCUAAUAUGCAUGAAGUCCUGGGUUUGAUUCCUCAGUACCA